AGCUGGCCAGGCAAUGUACUCAGAGAAGUGGAUUUUCUUAUGCUGAUCAAAAUUUGUGUCACCUCAAGAGCAUUUCUGGUCCUUUUGCAGCUUAACUGAGAUAAUGAUUUUGCAUAUUAAUGAAGAUAGCGAUGUCCAUGACAGAUGCUCAAGGGAGCACAAUUUAUUAGAAGAAUAGUGACAGAAGAGAGUACCAACUUGCUAGCUGUGUGCCUGUAUAUUCAUGAGAUUAAGGGUGUUAGUAUGAAAUUGCCGCCGCAUGGAGCCACGUGCCAGAGUCUCAAAAGGAGUUCUGUUAUUGUCUCCCAAGUACAACAGUUGCCUGCUGGUAAAUGUCUUAAUAUGUAUAUAAAUACAUGCAAAGAUGUUUUGAUAAUCUGCAACACGCAUAGCUGCAGUUUGUAA